rnacentral:rRNA from 1 species
GGUUAACCUGCGGAGGGAUCAUUA